GGAUACAGCUCAGUGGUAGAGCGAAUGCCUAGUAUACACGAGGCCCUGGGUUCCAUCCCCAGCACUAUUCA
rnacentral:tRNA from 1 species